AUUGAACGCUGGCGGCAGGCCUAACACAUGCAAGUCGAACGGUAACAGGAAGCAGCUUGCUGCUUCGCUGACGAGUGGCGGACGGGUGAGUAAUGUCUGGGAAACUGCCUGAUGGAGGGGGAUAACUACUGGAAACGGUAGCUAAUACCGCAUAACGACGCAAGAUCAAAGAGAGGGACAUUAGGGCCUCUUGCCAUCGGAUGUGCCCAGAUGGGAUUAGCUAGUAGGUGGGGUAACGGCUCACCUAGGCGACGAUCCCUAGCUGGUCUGAGAGGAUGACCAGCCACACUGGAACUGAGACACGGUCCAGACUCCUACGGGAGGCAGCAGUGGGGAAUAUUGCACAAUGGGCGCAAGCCUGAUGCAGCCAUGCCGCGUGUAUGAAGAAGGCCUUCGGGUUGUAAAGUACUUUCAGCGGGGAGGAAGGGAGUAAAGUUAAUACCUUUGCUCAUUGACGUUACCCGCAGAAGAAGCACCGGCUAACUCCGUG
rnacentral:rRNA from 1 species